rnacentral:sRNA from 1 species
GCGUUUUCCUAGGCACCUGGCCAGCCGAGGCGGGGCGUCGGGGCUGGGGCCGGGAGCCUCGGAGGACGCAGGUCCGCCUCCCGCGAUGCCGAGGGUGCCCCCGGGGAGUCUGAGGAACCUGCAGCCCCGGCCUCGCCCCUGAGGCUGCAGAAGAUGUCAAUGUUACUUUUGAAGAUCAACAAAAGAUAAACAAAUUUGCACGGAAUACAAGUAGAAUCACAGAGCUGAAGGAAGAAAUAGAAGUAAAAAAGAAACAACUCCAAAACCUAGAAGAUGCUUGUGAUGACAUCAUGCUUGCAGAUGAUGACUGCUUAAUGAUACCUUAUCAAAUUGGUGAUGUCUUCAUUAGCCAUUCUCAAGAAGAAACGCAAGAAAUGUUAGAAGAAGCAAAGAAAAAUUUGCAAGAAGAAAUUGACGCCUUAGAAUCCAGAGUGGAAUCAAUUCAGCGGGUGUUAGCAGAUUUGAAAGUUCAGUUGUAUGCAAAAUUUGGGAGCAACAUAAACCUUGAAGCUGAUGAAAGUUAAACAUUUUAUAAUACUUUUUUUAUUUGUUUAAUAAACUUGAAUAUUGUUUAAAAUGAUAAUUUUCCUUCUUCAAAUGACAUGGAAAGCAAAACUUUCUUUUUUUAAAAUUUUCAUUUAUUUAAUGGAAACUUGCCU